rnacentral:rRNA from 1 species
CACGAACGCUGGCGGCAGGCUUAACACAUGCAAGUCGAGCGCCCCGCAAGGGGAGCGGCAGACGGGUGAGUAACGCGUGGGAAUCUACCCAUCUCUACGGAAUAACGCAUGGAAACGUGUGCUAAUACCGUAUACGUCCUUCGGGAGAAAGAUUUAUCGGAGAUGGAUGAGCCCGCGUUGGAUUAGCUAGUUGGUGGGGUAGAGGCCUACCAAGGCGACGAUCCAUAGCUGGUCUGAGAGGAUGAUCAGCCACACUGGGACUGAGACACGGCCCAGACUCCUACGGGAGGCAGCAGUGGGGAAUAUUGGACAAUGGGCGCAAGCCUGAUCCAGCCAUGCCGCGUGAGUGAUGAAGGCCCUAGGGUUGUAAGGCUCUUUCACCGGUGAAGAUAAUGACGGUAACCGGAGAAGAAGCCCCGGCUAACUUCGUGCCAGCAGCCGCGGUAAAAC